rnacentral:rRNA from 1 species
CCUACGGGAGGCAGCAGUAGGGAAUAUUGCUCAAUGGGGGAAACCCUGAAGCAGCAACGCCGCGUGGGGGAUGAAGGUUUUCGGAUUGUAAACUCCUUUUGUUAGGGAAGAUAAAGACGGUAUCUAACGAAUAAGGACCGGCCAAAUCCGAGCCAACAGCCGGGGUAAUUCGGAGGGUGCCAGCGUUACUCGGAAUCACUGGGCUGAAAGGGCGCGUAGGCGGGAAAGGCAGUCAGAAGUGAAAUCCUAUGGGUUAACCAUAGAACUGCAUUUGAAACUGUUAUUCUAGAGUAUGGGAGAGGUAGGUGGAAUUCGUGGUGUAGGGGUAAAAUGCGUAGAGAUCAAGAGGAACACUGAUUGCGAAGGCGACCUGCUAGAACAUAACUGACGCUGAGGCGCGAAAGCGUGGGGAGCAAACAGGAUUAGAUACCCCUGUAGUC